rnacentral:rRNA from 1 species
UGGGGGAUAUUGCACAAUGGGCGAAAGCCUGAUGCAGCGACGCCGCGUGAGGGAAGACGGUUUUCGGAUUGUAAACCUCUGUCUUCAGGGACGAUAAUGACGGUACCCGAGGAGGAAGCACCGGCUAACUCCGUGCCAGCAGCCGCGGUAAUACGGAGGGUGCGAGCGUUAAUCGGAAUCACUGGGCGUAAAGCGCUCGUAGGCUGUUUGUUAAGUCAGAGGUGAAGUCCCACGGCUCAACCGUGGAACUGCCUUUGAUACUGGCAGACUAGAAUCCGGGAGAGGGUGGCGGAAUUCCAGGUGUAGGAGUGAAAUCCGUAGAUAUUAGGAGGAACACCAGUGGCGAAGGCGACUUGCUGGACAUUAACUGACGCUGAGGCGCGAAAGCGUGGGGAGCAAACA